rfam:Candidate division WWE3 bacterium RBG_19FT_COMBO_53_11 rbg_19ft_combo_scaffold_102, whole genome shotgun sequence.
GGGUAUAGUAUAAGUCAUCCGAAGACAGUGGGGGUCCCGAGCGUAGUCGAGGGGCUUAAUCAUCCCGCCGAGGAAUUGAUAGUAGCGAGUUGCGAGUAGCAAGUAGCUAGUAUUUUCUCGGCGCGAGCCGAGUUUUUGUUUAACUUG